rnacentral:rRNA from 1 species
CCUACGGGCGGCAGCAGUGAGGAAUAUUGGUCAAUGGACGAGAGUCUGAACCAGCCAAGUAGCGUGAAGGAUGACUGCCCUAUGGGUUGUAAACUUCUUUUAUAAAGGAAUAAAACGAGGCACGUGUGCCUUUUUGCAUGUACUUUAUGAAUAAGGAUCGGCUAACUCCGUGCCAGCAGCCGCGGUAAUACGGAGGAUCCGAGCGUUAUCCGGAUUUAUUGGGUUUAAAGGGAGCGUAGAUGGGUUGUUAAGUCAGUUGCGAAAGUUUGCGGCUCAACCGUAAAAUUGCAAUUGAUACUGGCAGUCUUGAGUACAGUUGAGGUAGGCGGAAUUCGUGGUGUAGCGGUGAAAUGCUUAGAUAUCACGAAGAACCCCGAUUGCGAAGGCAGCUUACUAAACUGUGACUGACAUUGAUGCUCGAAAGUGUGGGUAUCAAACAGGAUUAGAUACCCGAGUAGUC